rnacentral:rRNA from 1 species
UACGUAGGGUGCGAGCGUUAAUCGGAAUUACUGGGCGUAAAGCGUGCGCAGGCGGUUCGUUGUGUCGGCGGUGAAAGCCCCGGGCUUAACCUGGGAAUGGCCGUUGAAACUGGCGAACUGGAGUGUGGCAGAGGGGGGUGGAAUUCCGCGUGUAGCAGUGAAAUGCGUAGAGAUGCGGAGGAACACCGAUGGCGAACGGCAGCCCCCUGGGCUAACACUGACGCUCAAGGCACGGAAAGCAGUGGGGAGCAAACAAGG